AGAGCGAACGCUGGCGGCAGGCCUAACACAUGCAAGUCGAGCGCCCCGCAAGGGGAGCGGCAGACGGGAGAGUAACACGUGGGAACGUACCCUUCAGUUCGGAACAACCCAGGGAAACUUGGGCUAAUACCGAAUACGUCCGUAAGGAGAAAGAUUUAUCGCUGAAGGAUCGGCCCGCGUCCGAUUAGCUAGUUGGUGAGGUAACGGCUCACCAAGGCGACGAUCGGUAGCUGGUCUGAGAGGAUGAUCAGCCUCACUGGGACUGAGACACGGCCCAGACUCCUACGGGAGGCAGCAGUGGGGAAUAUUGGACAAUGGGCGCAAGCCUGAUCCAGCCAUGCCGCGUGGAUGAUGAAGGCCCUAGGGUUGUAAAGUCCUUUCGGCGGGGAAGAUAAUGACGGUACCCGCAGAAGAAGCCCCGGCUAACUUCGUGCCAGCAGCCGC
rnacentral:rRNA from 1 species